rnacentral:lncRNA from 1 species
AAGGUACCGCAUAGCCAGGGCAGGCAGAUGAUUAGCAGAUGUUUCGAAUCAGCCAUUCUAGGGAAAAUAGACUUCAUAAAAGUAAGGAAAAAAAUACCAUAACGAAAUGAAAAUUAAAUUAAAUCCAGAGCUGUAGUUUCAAGGGUUCAUAUACAUUUGCUGUCUGGGAUUGAACCUCUUUCAAGCAGAGGACAGAACUCAUGCUGACCUGGGUUAGUUCCCAAAGCAAGCCUGGCAGCUUGGCAGGUGACACAGGCAUUACACAGCGAUGCCUCUCCCAGUGUACGUAGUGGAGCAAAGCAAACGCAGGGGUCCCUCUAAGAGGGAAGUGGUUACGUGGUUGAAAGCAGCUCAGACUUGCACAAUACAGAGAGUCCUUGCCGCAGAAAACUCCAAGUGCGUUUUCGUUUUCAAAUGAUGAAUUACACACAGGAUUACACAACGAUAGUCGCAGACUUCCAAUCAGAUGGCCUCCAUUCCCUCUGCGUUUGCCUCCAAGAUCAUGCGCGGGACAUUCUGAGAAACCAUGCCCAGAGACAAAAAGGAAGCUUGGCGUUGUGAAAAAGCCGGCUUUUAAUGAGUUGAUGUGAAAAGCUGCACGCACAUUAGAC